CUGAUGGUCUUGUUAAAACUUCACUUUUAAUCAUAAGCUAAAUCUCUUCAGGACUGUUGAAAUGGGAGGAUUGGGAUAGAUCUCCGAGGCUCCUUCUAGCUCUAACCUUUCAAGACUUCAUCCAAGCUUCAUGUCCAUCAGACUCUGCACCAGUUAGCCUCUGCCUGCCUUUGACUUCAUCUCCCACCACUCUCCCUUCAUGCACGGUGCUCCAGCUCUGCCAUUCUUUCAGUUCCUCCGGCAACCAAGUGCAGGGCUCCUGCACUUGCUUGCAGCCUGAAACACUCUUGUGCCUACAUUUUUGCUUGCCCUUUUCAUUUAGCCCUCAGUUCAAAGGUCACUCCUCAAAGAGCCUUCCCUUCCAUCUGAAGUAGCACCCACUGUCCCCAGUCACUCUCCAUCGCAUUACCCUAUUUUCCUUAUAGGAUAGUCUGAAAUUAUCUUGGAUUAUUUGUUUAUCCGUCUUCCCAGGAUGUUCACUCCUGGACCAUAGAUGGAGCUCAGAAAAACGUAAUAAAUGGAAUGCAUGCAUGAAUUAGCACGCCACACGCUCUGCCCCACGCCACCCCCAAAGACCACAGGAACAAAAUGGGCAGGCAAUUAAUUAUGCCUGCGAUAGGGUCCGAGAGGCAGCUGUGUUGCUAUGGCAGCGUGAUGCCGAGGGGGCCGGAAGUGACGCGUGACUACUUCCGCUUCCAUAACAGCAGCACUUCCGGGUUGGAAGAUUUAGGUGGCGACGGUUUCGGAAGGAAUAAAAUGGAAGGAGAAUCCAGCAGAUUUGAAAUCCACACUCCAAUUUUUGACAAGAAAAAGAAAAAGCAUUCUGUACAUAAGGAAAGACAUCAGAAACGUUCCCAUGAAAGUUUCAGAGACUUCUCCCUGGUAAGUGAACAGACUCACGUAACUAAGCGUAAAAAGAAGAGAAAGGAUUUCCAACAGCUCACUUCUUCUCCUUUGAAAAAAUCAGAAAUCCACGAUGAGACUGAGAAGGCCACUUGUACACACAGAAAGAAGAAAAGGAGAAGACAUAGUGCUUUGGGAGUAGACGAGGAAACAGGCGCUGUAUAUGUCUUUGUGGAUGAAGAAAAUACUGAGAACACGCGAAAGAAUUCUAAAAAGGGUGCCUGUGCCCUUCGUGUUGACACGAGCAUAGAACGAGAGAUAACGAAAGAGCCUGCAGCGGACAAACUGCAGGUAGUUGCUAAGUCACAUGAAAAUGAAUCAGAAGAACCGCACUGUAAAGUUCGGAAGAAGAAGAAGAACCGUAGGAGGACAGGUGCAUCCUGUGACGCCCCAUGGGAGAGCCAGCACCCCAGCGUGCCCUCGCCCCAGGUGGACCCGCACCAGCAGGAGCCCUGGCCUUCUGUGGGCCUGGAAGGCAGCCUUCCAGAACCACUGGUAUCUGCUAAGAAAAACAAGUCUAACAAGAAAAAGAGGAGAAAGUCCAACAAGCAGGAGCUGGAGGCCCUGGCCAGACCUGAGUGCGCUGAAGGGCCACAGGCGGCCAGAGAGGUGGGCACGGCCCUGAUGGGGCUCGGGGCACCUGGGGAUGCCAGGGAAAAGGCGAGGAAGAAGAAGCGCGCUUCUGUUGGAAGCGGUGUAGCCUCUGCUGAUGGGGUUUCUGCGCUCAGCCAGAACUCUGAGAACCCACAGAGUGAUGCGCUGGAAAGCCACGGCCCCUUGCUCAAAGGAGGAAAGAAACUCGGGCAGCGGCGGGAGCAGAGGAGCCGGGCCUGUUCCGGAGACGAGCAUGGGGAGGAGGCGUCCAGGUUAGAACCUACAAAUGAAGAAGAAAGCAAUUUAGAAUCAGCUAAAGAUUCUGAAACAAGAUAUUUACAUGAAGAUUUGAGAGAUUCAGGUGAUUCAGAUGUGGAUUUGGAUUCUGCCAUGAAGCAGCUCCGAGAAUUCAUUCCUAACAUCCAGGAAAGGGCUGCAACUACGAUUAAACGAAUGUAUCGGGAUGACUUGGAGCGAUUUAAAGAAUUUAAAGCACAAGGUGUCACUAUUAAAUUUGGCAAGUUUUCUGCCAAGGAAAAUCAGCAGUUAGAGAAAAACGUGCAAGAAUUCCUGUCCCUGACGGGAAUCGAGACCGCAGACAAGCUACUGCAUACGGACAGAUACCCAGAGGAAAAAUCCACCAUCACCGACUUAAAAAGGAAAUACUCGUUUAGAUUGCACAUUGGUAAAGGCAUCGCCCGACCCUGGAAGCUAGUAUACUAUCGAGCAAAGAAGAUGUUUGAUGUCUAUAAUUACAAAGGCAGGUAUAGCAAAGAAGAUACUGAGAAGUUACAGAGAUACCAUUCCCUCCACGGGAAUGACUGGAAAAAGAUUGGUGAGAUGGUGGCCCGAAGUAGCCUCUCGGUGGCCCUGAAGUUCUCUCAGAUCAGUGCUCGAAGAAAUCGUGGUGCUUGGAGUAAGGAGGAAACCCAGAAACUAAUCAAGGCUGUUGAAGAAGUGAUUCUAAAGAAAAUGUCUCUCAAGGAGUUAAAUGAGGUGGAUCCCAGACUCCAAGAAGCUCCCGAAGGUCGUCUGUCAAUUGUUCGGGAAAGACUUUACAGGGGCAUAUCUUGGAUAGAAGUAGAAGCUAAAGUGGAAACCAGAAAUUGGAUGCAGUGUAAAAGUAAGUGGAUGGAAAUUCUAACCAAGAGGAUGACUAAUGGUGGGAAUAUAUACCAUGGAAUUAAUGCCCUGCAAGCCAAAAUCAACCUCAUUGAAAGAUUGUAUGAAGUAAAUGUAGAAGAUGCUAAUGAAAUAGACUGGGAAGAUCUUGCUAAUGCUGUAGGUGAUGUUCCUCCAUCCUAUGUUCAAACUAAAUUUUACAAGCUGAAAGCUACCUAUGUUCCCUUUUGGCAGAAGAAGACUUUUCCAGAGAUCAUCGACUAUCUUUAUGAGACUAGACUACCUUUAUUUAAAGAAAAGUUAAAAAAGAAGAUGGAGACAAAAUGCAAUAAAAUCCAGACUCCUGCAGCACCCAAGCAAGUUUUCCUGCUUAAAGACAUCUUUUACAGUGACAGUGAGGGAGGCAGAAUAGACUCGGAAGACUCAGAAGAAAGUUAAGCAAAGGAGAUGGUUUUUACAACUGAUAUAACAUUUCGAGUAAACAAAAACAUGGAACCCAUUCCUUGCCGAUUCGAAUGGUCCAAUAUUGUUGGAACAGUAACAUCAAACUUUGCUGCUAAUUUACAGUGCUUCUGUUUAAGAACAUCCUACAAAUUGGGUAAGCUUGGGCUCUACAAUCUCUGAAUGUACCUUGGAUCAGUGAAUCUCCCGACACAAUGUUGAGUGUAAAAAGCAAUUUGCAGAAAAACGCAUUCAGUAUAAUUCCAUAUCAAAAAUUUUAAAGUAUGCAAAACUUAUUAAUAUGUUUACAGAUAAAAACAAAUGUGAGAAGAUUAUAAGGUAAGGCCCAUAGAGAACUGCAGAGGCAAGAUGAAAUUAUAUGACUUUUGUUUACCCUAGGCACUUACACCUUCGUGACACUUUUCUCCAUAAAAAAAUAAUAAAAAUGAUAUUUUAUGAUUGUUGGUAUAACGAUAAAUAUAUUAAUGUUAUAUAUUAAAACAUUUUCUUCAACCUAAACUUUCGCUUUUUUUCCUGACAUUUAUAAGAAGUCAAAACAUUUUGUGUGCCCAUAAAACUAUCUUGGUGCCUAGGCGUGAGUUAUCAUGUUUACUAGUUCAAUCUCCCUGUUCAGAAUUCAGGGUAAUGUUUUAUACACUGUUUUAUACAGAGUGGUGAGUAGCUUGGCAUUUAUAUUUUUUCAUAUACAUUAAUACUUUAAUAAAAUCAGUUUAAGGAAUAUACAGCUAAAUCUAUGUCACAAAUUCUCCAAGGACAUACAUUUAAAAUUUUUCAGUAGCCAUUCAAGUCCUUUUUCAAAAGUAUUAUAUAAAUGUAUUAUCUUUAAAAGGAUACAUACACAAAUUAUAACACAGUAUAGUUUUGAAACAUUUUUGUAACUCUCUUAUUUAAACACUUUCUUUGAAUGUGGCCAAAAUAUUUCACAGGGUGGAGAAAAACAAAACCCGAAAAUAACGGUCUUCUCUUCCUUCGCUAGGAAUCCCCAGAUUGUUAAAUUCCAGUAACGGACAACACGCCCUUCCAACAAGCCACGCCCCUUUACUGGAAUGUUCCUUCCCCGGGGGUGUCUCCCCCAGUUCUCCCUUGACUUGCUUCCUCUCAUACUCGAGUUGAGGUUCUCUUCGAAAUGUUCUUUUGAGGCCAAAGACUGGGUAUAUAUGAAUGCAAAUGCUCAUUCACAAAUAAGCCCAGCAAUCUCGAUUGAGAGGAUCA